rnacentral:tRNA from 1 species
GGGGAUUUAGCUCUGUGGUAGAGCGCUUGCCUGGCAAGCACAAGGCCCUGGGUUCAGUCCCCAGCUCCG